rnacentral:rRNA from 1 species
UACGGGGGGGGCAAGCGUUGUUCGGAAUUACUGGGCGUAAAGGGCUCGUAGGUGGCCAACUAAGUCAGACGUGAAAUCCCUCGGCUUAACCGGGGAACUGCGUCUGAUACUGGAUGGCUUGAGUUUGGGAGAGGGAUGCGGAAUUCCAGGUGUAGCGGUGAAAUGCGUAGAUAUCUGGAGGAACACCGGUGGCGAAGGCGACCCGCUGGCCAGCGACUGACGCUGAGACGCGAAAGCGUGGGGAGCAAACAGG